rnacentral:misc_RNA from 1 species
AAGUCGUAACAAGGUUUCCGUAGGUGAACCUGCGGAAGGAUCAUUAAAGAGAGGGACGUUCGCGUUCCCGGGUGCUUCGGCCCCUCCCUCUUUCACCCCCGUGUUUACCUUACCACAUUCGUUGCUUUUGGCAGGCCUUUGGGUCGUGUCAUGCCGCCCGGGGGGUGUCCCCCGGGGGGCGGCGCCUGCCGAAAGCCCUUUAACUUCUUGAAUCGACCAUGUUGUCUGAGUGAAAACAAAAUCAAGCAAAA